rnacentral:rRNA from 1 species
GAUGAACGCUGGCGGCGUGCCUAAUACAUGCCAGUCGAGCGAACGGACGAGAAGCUUGCUUCUCUGAUGUUAGCGGCGGACGGGUGAGUAACACGUGGAUAACCUACCUAUAAGACUGGGAUAACUUCGGGAAACCGGAGCUAAUCCCGGAUGAUCUUUUGAACCGCAUUGUUCAAAAGUGAAAGACGGUCUUGCUGUCACUUAUAGAUGGAUCCGCGCUGCAUUAGCUAGUUGGUAAGGUAACGGCUUACCAAGGCAACGAUGCAUAGCCGACCUGAGGGGGGGAUCGGCCACACUGGAACUGAGACACGGUCCAGACUCCUACGGGAGGCAGCAGUAGGGAAUCUUCCGCAAUGGGCGAAAGCCUGACGGAGCAACGCCGCGUGAGUGAUGAAGGUCUUCGGAGCGUAAAACUCUGUUAUUAGGGAAGAACAGAUGUGUAAGUAACUGUGCACAGCUUGACGGUACCUAAUCAGAAAGCCACGGCUAACUACGUG